GUCAUAAAUUAAAUAUAAACAUUCUAAGAUCAAUAGUGUGUGUAAGGACCCGACUAAGCGGGUCAAAGGUGCACAGGUGUAAGUGUAUCGGGACGAGCGUGCUCCCUCUCGGGGCACAGCUCAAUCCCUUUACUAAGAAAUCAAUAAUGAUCCUUCCGCAGGUUCACCUACGGAAA
rnacentral:misc_RNA from 1 species